rnacentral:rRNA from 1 species
UAUGCUUAACACAUGCAAGUCGAACGCACCUUUCGGGGUGAGUGGCGGACGGGUGAGUAACGCGUGAGAAUCUGGCUUCAGGUCUGGGACAACCACUGGAAACGGUGGCUAAUACCGGAUGUGCCGAGAGGUGAAAGGUUAACUGCCUGAAGAUGAGCUCGCGUCUGAUUAGCUAGUAGGUGUGGUAAGAGCGCACCUAGGCGACGAUCAGUAGCUGGUCUGAGAGGAUGAUCAGCCACUGGACUGAGACACGGCCCAGACUCCUACGGGAGGCAGCAGUGGGGAAUUUUCCGCAAUGGGCGAAAGCCUGACGGAGCAAUACCGCGUGAGGGAGGAAGGCUCUUGGGUCGUAAACCUCUUUUCUCAGGGAAGAACACAAUGACGGUACCUGAGGAAUAAGCAUCGGCUAACUCCGUGCCAGCAGCCGCGGUAAUACGGAGGAUGCAAGCGUUAUCCGGAAUGAUUGGGCGUAAAGCGUCCGCAGGUGGCUGUGUAAGUCUGCUGUUAAAGAGUGAGGCUCAACCUCAUAAGAGCAGUGGAAACUACACGGCUAGAGUGCGUUCGGGGCAGAGGGAAUUCCUGGUGUAGCGGUGAAAUGCGUAGAGAUCAGGAAGAACACCGGUGGCGAAAGCGCUCUGCUAGGCCGCAACUGACACUGAGGGACGAAAGCUAGGGGAGCGAAUGGGAUUAGAUACCCCAGUAGUCCUAGCCGUAAACGAUGGAUACUAGGCGUGGCUUGUAUCGACCCGAGCCGUGCCGUAGCUAACGCGUUAAGUAUCCCGCCUGGGGAGUACGCACGCAAGUGUGAAACUCAAAGGAAUUGACGGGGGCCCGCACAAGCGGUGGAGUAUGUGGUUUAAUUCGAUGCAACGCGAAGAACCUUACCAAGACUUGACAUGUCGCGAAUCCUCUUGAAAGGGAGGAGUGCCUUCGGGAGCGCGAACACAGGUGGUGCAUGGCUGUCGUCAGCUCGUGUCGUGAGAUGUUGGGUUAAGUCCCGCAACGAGCGCAACCCUCGUUUUUAGUUGCCAGCAUUAAGUUGGGCACUCUAGAGAGACUGCCGGUGACAAACCGGAGGAAGGUGGGGAUGACGUCAAGUCAGCAUGCCCCUUACGUCUUGGGCUACACACGUACUACAAUGCUACGGACAGAGGGCAGCAAGACAGCGAUGUCAAGCAAAUCCCGUAAACCGUGGCUCAGUUCAGAUCGCAGGCUGCAACUCGCCUGCGUGAAGGAGGAAUCGCUAGUAAUUGCAGGUCAGCAUACUGCAGUGAAUUCGUUCCCGGGCCUUGUACACACCGCCCGUCACACCAUGGAAGCUGGUCACGCCCGAAGUCAUUACCCCAACUUUUCGGAGAGGGGGAUGCCUAAGGCAGGACUGGUGACUGGGGUGAAGUCGUAACAAGGUAGCCGUACCGGAAGGUGUGGCUGGAUCACCUCCUUU